GCCGCCUUAGCUCAGUUGGUAGAGCAUCGGCUUGUGGAGCCGGGUGUCGUUGGUUCGAGCCCAACAGGCGGUACCA
rnacentral:tRNA from 1 species